AAAAAGGUUUUACUUAAAACCACCUCUAUGCCACAUCGAGAAAAAA
rfam:Cyphomyrmex costatus contig12513, whole genome shotgun sequence.